CAAAUUUUGAAAAUAUCUGAAGGUUUAACGAAUUUUGGAGAAUUCGACAGAGCUACAGACUACGAAACCUUUCGAAACGAACACACGUGUCCUGUUGAACUUGAAAAAAGACGAAAUUAUUUUUAAAAAGAUCAUGGUAACUCGUGAAGCAACAUCUCAGAAUUGAAUCGGGGAACGAGGAAUCAAAAAAAGGUUAACAAUUUGGAUCAUUUUGGAAGAUACAUACGCCGCGCUUUUCAAAGCGGACAGACGUGCCCUUGUCCAACUGAAACGAACACACGUGUCCUGUUGAACUUGAAAAAAGACGAAAUUAUUUUAAAAAGGUAUAUUGUUGCUAAAUAAUAGAUUUUUUUUUAAUUAAAAUAUUUGACAGAUCAUGGUAACUCGUGAAGCAACAUCUCAGAAUUGAAUCGGGGAGUUGUGUAUUUGCUGGCAAUCCGGGCCUGCUUGGAUCAUUUUGGAAGAUACAUACGCCUGCGCUUUUCAAAGCGGACAGACGUGCCCGUGUCCCACUUGACAAAGGCGGAAUUAUUUUAGGAAAGACCAUGGCAACUAGUAAAGCAGAAUCCGAGAAUUCAAUCGGCGGCUGUAUGUUGACUGACAAGAAUAUAAUUGCUGUUAAUCCGGCCCUGCUUCUUGUACAAAUGCAUAGUGGGGAGACAUGAACAUUUUUCGAAAUUGCGGCCCUAUCCUCUUGGGAUUCUACGUUGGACAAAUUCUGAAAACGACCCAGAAAUAUAAUUGGAGGUUCAAACCCGUGCGAGGUGAGGUUUGAUAUAUGAAACAGACCAGUCAUGGGGACACGAGAUAUGGAAAGUUUCAGCGUAGUCGUCGCCACAUUGCUGCCAACACUGCAUAUAUAAGGAAUCACGAAC